AUUGAACGCUGGCGGCAGGCCUAACACAUGCAAGUCGAGCGAGCGGCGGACGGGUGAGUAAUGUAUGGGGACUGCCCGAUAGAGGGGGAUAACUAUUGGAAACGGUGGCUAAUACCGCAUACUAUCGGCUAACCCAUAUGGGAUUAGCUAGUGGGUGGGGUAAAGGCUCACCUAGGCGACGAUCUCUAGCUGGUCUGAGAGGAUGAUCAGCACGACCGGGACUAUGAGCCGGCCCGGACUCGUGCGGUGGCAGCGAUGGGUAGUAUUGCACGAUGAGCGCAGGCCUGAUGCCGCCAAGCCGCUUGUAUGAAGAAGGGCUUUGGGUUGUAAAGUACUUUCGUCGGGGAUGCGGUACCCGCAGAGGAAGCUCCGGCUAAAUCCGUGCCAGCAGCCGCGGUAAUAC
rnacentral:rRNA from 1 species